AAAUAAAAAGUAUAGAUAAUCAUUACCAAAUACCAAUAGGCAAUAGCAACAAGAUGAGGAACAGUUGACGUCAAAAAAAACAAGAUGAGGAACAGUUAAAGCUUUAGCUAAAAUUAACCAUUGGUGACCACUUGAAGCAUUCGCAUGUUUUGAAUCAACCUAUUUUCUCCUCACUGAACAUCUUAAUCCUCCUAAAUUACAAUACUCAUCUUCAAAAAUUGGAUCCUUUUCUCUCUCUUCCAUUCAGGCCUCUUUAAUUUCUAUCAGUUAUUCUUAUUGCAGAUAUUAGAUACAAAGAUCGGUGUAGGUGGUUGUGGAGGAAAGUAUAAACCACUGCUAUCCGACGUUCCAUCCACUCAUAAAGUUCUUCCCAAUUUUUCAGCACACCGAUUUGUCUUCAAAUUCCAGUUGCGCCUUCUCUGAAUUUUUUAAUUUGUGGCGACUAACACGGGUUUGUAGAGGAACCUUUUUGACUUGAGAUUGAGGUACAUUGACUGUGUUUGCUAUUGAGGGACUUGAAGAUAGUUAGCUCCAGUUGGGUUAAAGAGUGCGUUGGAUCCAUUUUGAUUUAAUAAGACUUUAAAAAGACUUCAGCUGUUAUUUAUUUGACUAUAAGAUUUAUAUUAUGGUUUGUAAUAAUUUAUUUACAUUCUAUUUUAGUUGGUCUGUAAUAAUUAGUUAAAAUUUUUGGUUAUUGUUUUAGUUAGAACCAUUAGCCUUGCGGUUAUUAUUAAUAAUUAUCGCGGCGUAGCACCUUUGGAUUUCCGAGUUUAUUAUAUUAAGUUGUUUUUAGAA